AGAGUUUGAUCCUGGCUCAGAAUCAACGCUGGCGGCAUGCCUUAUACAUGCAAGUCGAACGCGAAAGCGGACUUCGGUCCGUUAUUAGAGUGGCAAACGGGUGAGUAUCGCGUGGGUGACCUACCUUCGAGUGGGGAAUAACCCUCCGAAAGGAGGGCUAAUACCGCAUAAUAUCCCGCUCUUGGACGAGCGGUGAUCAAAGCCGGGGAUCGCAAGACCUGGCGCUUGAUGAGGGGCCCGCGUCCGAUUAGCUUGUUGGUGGGGUAACGGCUCACCAAGGCUUCGAUCGGUAGCCGGCCUGAGAGGGCGGACGGCCACAAUGGGACUGAGACACGGCCCAUACUCCUACGGGAGGCAGCAGUAAGGAAUUGUUCGCAAUGGGCGAAAGCCUGACGACGCAAUGCCGCGUGGAGGACGAAGAUCUUCGGGUCGUAAACUCCUGUCGAGCGGGAAGAAUAGUGUUCGGGUUAAUACCCCGAGCGCCUGACGGUACCGCUAAAGGAAGCCCCGGCUAACUCCGUGCCAGCAGCCGCGGUAAUACGGGGGGGGCGAGCGUUGUUCGGAUUUACUGGGCGUAAAGGGCUCGUAGGCGGCCACUUAAGUCGGUUGUGAAAUCCCUCGGCUCAACCGGGGAACUGCAGCCGAUACUGAGUGGCUUGAAGCCGGGAGAGGGAUGCGGAAUUCCAGGUGUAGCGGUGAAAUGCGUAGAUAUCUGGAGGAACACCCGUGGCGAAGGCGGCAUCCUGGACCGGUCUUGACGCUGAGGAGCGAAAGCUAGGGUAGCAAACGGGAUUAGAUACCCCGGUAGUCCUAGCCCUAAACGAUGAAUGCUUGGUGUGGCGGGUAUCGAUCCCUGCCGUGCCGGAGCUAACGCGUUAAGCAUUCCGCCUGGGGAGUACGGUCGCAAGGCUGAAACUCAAAGGAAUUGACGGGGGCCCGCACAAGCGGUGGAGCAUGUGGUUUAAUUCGACGCAACGCGAAGAACCUUACCCAGGCUUGAAGUGCGAGUGACCAUCGGUGAAAGCCGACUUCCGCAAGGACCCAUAACAGGUGGUGCAUGGCUGUCGUCAGCUCGUGUCGUGAGAUGUUGGGUUAAGUCCCGCAACGAGCGCAACCCUCGUUCUAUGUUGCCAGCACGUAAUGGUGGGGACUCAUAGGAGACUGCCGGGGACAACUCGGAGGAAGGUGAGGACGACGUCAAGUCAGCAUGCCCCUUAUAUCCAGGGCUGCACGCAUGCUACAAUGGCCGGUACAACGGGCAGCGACCCCGCGAGGGUGAGCGAAUCCCUUAAAGCCGGUCUCAGUUCGGAUUGAAGUCUGCAACUCGACUUCAUGAAGCCGGAGUCGCUAGUAAUCGUGGAUCAGCAAUGCCGCGGUGAAUACGUUCUCGGGGCUUGUACACACCGCCCGUCACAUCACGAAAGUUGGCAAUGCCCGUAGUCAGUGGUCCAACCCCUUUGGGAGGAAGCUGCCGAAGGUAGGGUCAGCGAUUGGGAUGAAGUCGUAACAAGGUAACC
rnacentral:rRNA from 1 species